AGAGUUUGAUCAUGGCUCAGGACGAACGCUGGCGGUGUGCUUAACACAUGCAAGUCAACGAGAAUUUACCUUCGGAUAAUAGUAAAGUGGCGAACGGGUGAGUAACGCGUAAAUAACUUGCCUCGGAGAUUGGGACAACAUUGGGAAACCAGUGCUAAUACCAAAUAAUGCAGCGGGCCCUUUGGGGUAUUGUUGUUAAAGUAGGCUUCGGCUUACACUUCGAGAUAGAUUUGCGUCCGAUUAGUUAGUUGGUAGGGUAAUAGCCUACCAAGACCGAGAUCGGUAGCUGGUCUGAGAGGAUGAUCAGCCACACUGGAAUUGAGAUACGGUCCAGACUCCUACGGGAGGCAGCAGUGAGGAAUUUUGCACAAUGGGCGAAAGCCUGAUGCAGCAACACCGCGUGAUUGAUGAAGUUUUUAGGAAUGUAAAAAUCUGUCGUAAGGGAAGAAAUGUUUCGGAUGUUAAUACCAUUCGUUACUGACGGUACCUUACAAGAAAGGACCGGCUAACUUCGUGCCAGCAGCCGCGGUAAUAC
rnacentral:rRNA from 1 species